rnacentral:rRNA from 1 species
CGCUUUUUCUUUCACCGGAGCUUGCUCCACCGAAAGAAAAAGAGUGGCGAACGGGUGAGUAACACGUGGGUAACCUGCCCAUCAGAAGGGGAUAACACUUGGAAACAGGUGCUAAUACCGUAUAACACUAUUUUCCGCAUGGAAGAAAGUUGAAAGGCGCUUUUGCGUCACUGAUGGAUGGACCCGCGGUGCAUUAGCUAGUUGGUGAGGUAACGGCUCACCAAGGCAACGAUGCAUAGCCGACCUGAGAGGGUGAUCGGCCACACUGGGACUGAGACACGGCCCAGACUCCUACGGGAGGCAGCAGUAGGGAAUCUUCGGCAAUGGACGAAAGUCUGACCGAGCAACGCCGCGUGAGUGAAGAAGGUUUUCGGAUCGUAAAACUCUGUUGUUAGAGAAGAACAAGGAUGAGAGUAAAACGUUCAUCCCUUGACGGUAUCUAACCAGAAAGCCACGGCUAACUACGUGCCAGCAGCCGCGGUAAUACGUAGGUGGCAAGCGUUGUCCGGAUUUAUUGGGCGUAAAGCGAGCGCAGGCGGUUUCUUAAGUCUGAUGUGAAAGCCCCCGGCUCAACCGGGGAGGGUCAUUGGAAACUGGGAGACUUGAGUGCAGAAGAGGAGAGUGGAAUUCCAUGUGUAGCGGUGAAAUG